CGUAUGAUGUCGAAAGGCCAAAGAUUUAUCGCCUAAGGAUGAGCCCGCGUAAGAUUAGCUUGUUGGUGAGGUAAAAGCUCACCAAGGCGACGAUCUUUAGCUGGUCUGAGAGGAUGAUCAGCCACACUGGGACUGAGACACGGCCCAGACUCCUACGGGAGGCAGCAGUGGGGAAUAUUGGACAAUGGGCGAAAGCCUGAUCCAGCAAUGCCGCGUGAGUGAUGAAGGCCUUAGGGUUGUAAAGCUCUUUUACCAGGGAUGAUAAUGACAGUACCUGGAGAAUAAGCUCCGGCUAACUCCGUGCCAGCAGCCGCGGUAAUACGGAGGGAGCUAGCGUUGUUCGGAAUUACUGGGCGUAAAGAGUACGUAGGCGGUGAUUCAAGUCAGAGGUGAAAGCCUGGUGCUCAACUCCAGAACUGCCUUUGAAACUAGAUCGCUAGAAUUGUGGAGAGGUUAGUGGAAUUCCGAGUGUAGAGGUGAAAUUCGUAGAUAUUCGGAAGAACACCAGUGGCGAAGGCGACUAACUGGACACAUAUUGACGCUGAGGUAC
rnacentral:rRNA from 1 species